GACGACGAAAACCUUUACAAUGCACGAAAAGUGUGAUAAGGCAACCCCCUUGUGCUUAUCCCAAAGAUAGGCUUUUUAGUAUGUAAUGUAUACUAAGAAUAAGUGAUGGGCAAGACCGGUGCCAGCAGCCGCGGUAAUACCGGCGUCACAAGUGGAGAUCACGAUUACUGGGUCUAAAAGUGUUCGUAGCUGGUCAUAUAAGUCUC
rnacentral:rRNA from 1 species